rnacentral:hammerhead_ribozyme from 1 species
AGUAGCUAACGAGUCUCAAAAUAGGACGAAACACGCGUCCUGGAU